rnacentral:rRNA from 1 species
AGAGUUUGAUUAUGGCUCAGGAUGAACGCUAGCUACAGGCUUAACACAUGCAAGUCGCGGGGCAGCAUGAAGGAUGCUUGCAUUCUUUGAUGGCGACCGGCGCACGGGUGAGUAACGCGUAUCCAACCUGCCUGUUACCACGGCACAGCCCGUCGAAAGGCGGAUUAAUGCCGUAUGUGGUCCUUUGCGGGCAUCUAAUUAGGACUAAAGGUUUAGCGGUAACGGAUGGGGAUGCGUCCGAUUAGCUUGACGGCGGGGUAACGGCCCACCGUGGCGACGAUCGGUAGGGGUUCUGAGAGGAAGGUCCCCCACACUGGAACUGAGACACGGUCCAG